AACGACGCUGGCGGCACGCCUCAUACAUGCAAGUCGAGCGCGAAACCACCUUCGGGUGAUGUAGAGCGGCGAACGGGUGAGUAACAGGUGGGUAAUCUGCCCUUUGGCGGGGGACAACAGCUGGAAACGGCUGCUAAUACCGCAUGUGAUUGUGGACUUAUGGUCUGCAAGGAAAGGCGCCUCAAAGCGCCACCAAAGGAUGAGCCCGCCCCCCAUUAGCUAGUUGGUGAGAUAACAGCUCACCAAGGCAUCGAUGGGUAGCCGAGCUGAGGGGUUGAUCGGCCACACUGGAACUGAGACACGGUCCAGACACCUACGGGUGGCAGCAGUAGGGAAUAUUGCGCAAUGGGCGAAAGCCUGACGCAGCGAUGCCGCGUGAGUGACGAGGGCCUUAGGAUUGUAAAGCUCUUUUCUGAGGGAAGAAUAGGUCUGGUAGGAAAUGACUGGAUUCUGACGGUACCUCAGGAAUAAGGAACGGCUAACUCCGUG
rnacentral:rRNA from 1 species